rnacentral:rRNA from 1 species
AGGACGAACGCUGGCGGCGUGCUUAACACAUGCAAGUCGAGCGGUAAGGCCUCUUCGGGGGUACACGAGCGGCGAACGGGUGAGUAACACGUGGGUGACCUGCCCUCAGCUCUGGGAUAAGCCUGGGAAACUGGGUCUAAUACUGGAUAUGACUGCGCAUCGCAUGAUGUGUGGUGGAAAGUUUUUUCGGCUGGGGAUGGGCCCGCGGCCUAUCAGCUUGUUGGUGGGGUGAUGGCCUACCAAGGCGACGACGGGUA